GACGUAGGGCGCGAGCGUUGUCCGGAUUUAUUGGGCGUAAAGAGCUCGUAGGCGGCUUGUCGCGUCGACUGUGAAAUCCCGCGGCUCAACUGCGGGUCUGCAGUCGAUACGGGCAGGCUAGAGUUCGGUAGGGGAGACUGGAAUUCCUGGUGUAGCGGUGAAAUGCGCAGAUAUCAGGUGGAACACCGAUGGCGAAGGCAGUGAUCUGGGCCAGUACUGACGCUGAGGAGCGAAAGCGUGGGGAGCAAACAGG
rnacentral:rRNA from 1 species